AGUGCGAAUGCUGACAUGAGUAACGAUAAUGUGGGUGAAAAGCCCACACGCCGGAAGUCCCAGGUUUCCUGCACGACGUUAAUCGGAGCAGGGUGAGUCGGCCCCUAAGGCGAGGCUGAAGAGCGUAGUCGAUGGGAACCAGGUUAAUAUUCCUGGACUUUUUAUAAGUGGUGAAGUGGGGACGAAGAAGGCUAGGUGAGCCAGGCGUUGGUUGUCCUGGUACUUGCAUGUAGGGGGGAAGACUUGGCAAAUCCGGUUUUCCAUAACUCUGAGGUGCGAAGUGGUUCUGACCUUUUGGUACAGAGAAGUCAUUGAUGCCCGGCUUCCAGGAAAAGCUGCUAGCCAUAACUUAUAGAGAACCGUACCGCAAACCGACACAGGUGGACAGGUAGAGAAUACUAAGGCGCUUGAGAGAACUCGGGUGAAGGAACUAGGCAAAAUGGUACCGUAACUUCGGGAGAAGGUACGCCCUUUCUGGUGAUGGGAUUUACUUUCAGAGCUGGAGAGGGCCGCAGAGACCAGGUGGCUGCGACUGUUUAUUAAAAACACAGCACUCUGCAAAUUCGUAAGAAGACGUAUAGGGUGUGACGCCUGCCCGGUGCCGGAAGGUUAAUUGAUGGGGUUAUCUUCGGAGAAGCUCUUGAUCGAAGCCCCGGUAAACGGCGGCCGUAACUAUAACGGUCCUAAGGUAGCGAAAUUCCUUGUCGGGUAAGUUCCGACCUGCACGAAUGGCGUAACGAUGGCCACACUGUCUCCACCCGAGACUCAGUGAAAUUGAAAUCGCUGUGAAGAUGCAGUGUACCCGCGGCUAGACGGAAAGACCCCGUGAACCUUUACUAUAGUUUUGCACUGGACUUUGAUGAUGACUGUGUAGGAUAGGUGGGAGGCUGUGAAGUGAGGACGCUAGUUCUCAUGGAGCCGCCCUUGAAAUACCACCCUGUUGUUAUUGAGGUUCUAACUUGGUCCAGUAAUCCUGGAUGAGGACAGUGUAUGAUGGGUAGUUUGACUGGGGCGGUCUCCUCCCAAAGAGUAACGGAGGAGCACAAAGGUACCCUCGGUACGGUCGGACAUCGUACCAAGAGUGUAAAGGCAAAAGGGUGCUUGACUGCGAGAGUGACGGCUCGAGCAGGAACGAAAGUUGGUCUUAGUGAUCCGGUGGUUCUGAAUGGAAGGGCCAUCGCUCAACGGAUAAAAGGUACUCCGGGGAUAACAGGCUGAUACCGCCCAAGAGUUCAUAUCGACGGCGGUGUUUGGCACCUCGAUGUCGGCUCAUCACAUCCUGGGGCUGAAGCAGGUCCCAAGGGUAUGGCUGUUCGCCAUUUAAAGUGGUACGCGAGCUGGGUUUAGAACGUCGUGAGACAGUUCGGUCCCUAUCUGCCGUGGGCGUAGGAAAAUUGAGAGGAGCUGCUCCUAGUACGAGAGGACCGGAGUGGACGAACCUCUGGUGCACCGGUUGUCACGCCAGUGGCAUGGCCGGGUAGCUAAGUUCGGACGGGAUAACCGCUGAAAGCAUCUAAGCGGGAAGCCUCCCUCAAGAUGAGUUUUCCCAUGAAGCCCGUUGAAGACUACGACGUUGAUAGGCAAGGUGUGGAAGCGCAGUAAUGCGUGAAGCUAACUUGUACUAAUUGGCUGAUUGUCUUGACCAUAUAAUCUGAG
rnacentral:rRNA from 1 species